AAAUGUGGCAAUACUGGCUUGUCAAACACUGAUCUUGUCUGAUCUUGGAAGCUAAGCAAGGCUGAGCCUGGCUAGUACUUAGAUAGGAAACUGCUGGGGAUACAAGGUUCCACAGUGG
rnacentral:rRNA from 1 species